UCAAUACAACCAACGUUUCAUGAGGCAGUUUUUGCGAUGGUUGAAAUUUGUUCAAAUCUUUUAUGUCGAAUCUGGCUGGAAUUUCUUGAGCGCAUCAAGCUUGAUUUGCCAAAUAAUUGUGCGAUUUAUGUCUGUAAAUAUAUGAUUCAUUUGAAGUUCAAUAAUUAAAUAUGUCACAUUUUAUUUCAAUAGUUCAGUUCAGUGUUAAACAUUAAAGACAUUUUCCCGACAGAUAAUUAUGAAAGAUAAGAUAAUUAAUUGGAGCGACUAAUAUUUUCGAAAAAUUUACUCAUACACAUUUCCAAUAAAACUGGUCAGCAAUAUUCGCACGACCCUUUUCGUCUUCUUCGCCACAUAAUGGGACAGAUUUCGUUGAAUGAGGCAUCGUACCGGCGUACUCCUCGCCUUCACAAUUAUUUUAUGGGGACACACCCAUCUCCUCCCGCCGCGGGGCCCAACAAGGAGGGCCUGUCCCUUAUCAAGGAAAUCGGGUCAAGGAUCACAAUCUUCACGGAAGAGAAGAGGGCAACGUCUUUUCUCCUCCAAAGGAUGAGCAUUGCAGUACAGCGUGGAAAUGUUGCUGCAAUUUUAGGAUCUCUUCCAACCGGUCGAGAGCUGGAGGAGAUAUUUUUACUAUAAGACGACGAAAUAGGUUUUUUUACAUUAAAUUUCAGAUAGGGAAAUUGUGUGAGGCGCUGGUCGUUUAGCUUUUUUAAAAUAUAAGAUGUUAAUAAGUACUCUACUCUGCGAUACAAUUCAUACUUUUAACGAGUAAUGAAACUUAAAAUGAUGUAAUAUUACUAAGCGGCUUAGUAAUGUUACAUACUUUAAACAAAUUGGUAUAUUUCAGUACAUACAUAUCUCUAAUCUACUAAAGGUAAAUAAUUUUAAUGCAUGUACUUAUUCACAUUCGGCUCAACCACUAAAUCAUUUCUUAAUAAUAAUUGCAUACGUUUACAUACAUUUAUAAAACAAAUUUCAAAUCAAACAAUCAUCUAAACUUAACUUUUUAAAAAAUACUUAAUUGUAGUAACAUUGUUAUCUCUGUAUAUUAAUCAUUCCUAUUCCGACCCCAAAAUUUCAUCAAUUUUUUUUUAAAAUUCUUCCCCUCUUUAUCCUUAACAAACCCCAAACUCUCCCUCAACUCUUCAAACUUUUUGAUUUUCUCCUCCCUCACAUUCCUCUUCCCCUCCUCGACCACGUCAUAAUUCAAAUUAGGAAACGUUCUGGAAAUUCUCUCAUAAAAAUCCGGAAAAUCUUCCCUCCACCCCCAGCAUUUACAAAUCUCACUUUCCUCCUCACACUCGCACCUCUUCUUCAUCCUCAACCUUCCCACAUCCCACUUUCCCCUCGUGGGGAAGGAAAUAUCCAAACUUCUCAGCGUCUCACAUGGUUCGAGACCCUCAGCCAAAAAUGUUUCAUACAGAAAAAGCAUGGUCGCCUCGAAUUGCAAAUUUGCUUUCGGCUUUUUACAAAAAUUCAACCUCCACUUUGGAAUAUUUUGCGACACCACGCGCACAAUUAGCUUCUCUAAAACGGGAAACUGUUUCCCAUACUCAAGCUUAACCUCGUCCCCACCAGUUUCAAAUUUUAAGUACAAAAAUGGUCUAAACCAUACCGUGCUAGUGUCCGGAAAUACCGUUGGCUCUCUCAAAAUUUCGAAAAUUUUCAACCUGGGCAGAAUCGGGAUCACGAUGUAGGGCGAUACGUGUAUAUUUUUCCGUGGACUAAUAUUUUCCACGUUGGAUAUGCACACGUGUUCCAGCUGAGGUGCGAGGAUAUGAAAUAGGUCAACCCCAUUGGGAAUUGGGUCAUUAACUAGCGUAUUAAAUUCGAAACGGGUCACAUUUUCGAAUUUUUUUUUGCAAAGUGAGCUGAAUUUGAAGUGUUCUAAAAUAGCGUUAUUCCGCGACAAGUGAAACGUUCUUGAGAAAGAGAGCGAUUCGAGAUUAGGCAACGUGUUUCUUUCUACCAGCAUUCCGAUGGGGAAGUCGGUCAUGGCGAAUUUUCUUACGCGGGGGGCGAAAACGGCCAGAAUUCGCAUGACCAGGGGGAUCACGUGCUCCCAUUUCCCGACGUCUCUGUCGGGAUAAAAGCUGGUCAUGUUGACCGAAAAUGUGACCAGUUUUGGCGAGAGGGAUAAAUUAUCGGGGAAUAAGUCUACCCAACCUUCCUCAGACAAAUAAUCCCCUUGCCAACGGUAUUCGAUCGGUUGGAAUUCUAAGGAUUCCAAGUUUUUGAAGGAUUCGCACAUUUUUACUAAACGAGACGCCACGUGGCGUACCGGAGCGUCGAGGGGGAGUUCGAUGCUUAAUUGGGUAACGGUGUUCAAAUUGAGGGAGAUGAGUAGGUCUAUUUUUGGGAGUAACAUGUCCCAAUUUUCGAAACAAAGGGUGAUGAUUUUGAGGUUUGUGGGGGAUAGGUUGGUCAGGGUGACGAGGUCGGGGGAGUCCGUGACGUUGGACGUGGCGUGGAUAUCGAUAGGGUUUCGAGCGAUGAGAUGCUUAAGAGCCUCCAUUUGCCACGUGGUGUUGACGAGAGAUGCAGUUUCUAAGUUGGUGGUGGGGAGGAAGCCCAUGAUUUUUGAAAUUAUCUAGUUAAUAAAUAAAGUUUUUGGGUGUGAAUUAUCGACUGAAUUAUAUUUGGAGCGUACAUAUAUCACGUCAUCCAAAAAGAUGGGUGGGUGGUUUUAAGUCGGAUAUGUUACUCCUGUGAAGCUGAACACGAGUAAGAUAUGAAAGGGGUGGGUGGUUUAAAAUUUUUAGAGUUUUUAUAGCGUAAUAUGUCGACGUUCCUAUGCGAUAAAUAAAAUAAAUUUGUCAAAUAAAAUUAACACUUACUUCGGGCAGGUGUGAAAUUAAGUUGCCCGCUUGGCUAUUGCUUUCCAUUUCGAGGCAGUGAAAAGUUUGGAAGGAUGCUCAAAAUUAGUUGUUAAAGAACGGAAAUAAAUAAAUUUAAAUUUGUAACCUCG